AACGAUGACUCUGAGUCACUAGAAAAGAGAAAAUCUUUUAAAAUACUCUUGGGACCAGGGACGAACUGUUAAGGGAAGAGCACUAUUUUAUCAUUCAGCUAACGAGCCCGAGGAAGGAUGAUCACCGCUCGGUGCCGUUUCGCCUUGACAACUCUUUCUCCCCGAAACAAAUACGCCAACUUCGGCAUUAAGGCAUUUACCAGAAAAUGCUUUCCUACAGCCUGUUAGUAGCUGCUGUACCGUGAUACACGAGCUUCUGCCAAAGAACGCUGAAGUCUGCCCAGAGAAACAAAAACUGUCUUCUGUAAGGCAUUUAUACAAGGGGGAGUACUCUUCUGGGAAGUAGGUACAUCUUUACCUUUCCUUUUCACAAGAAAGCAGAUAGCUACUACACUAGUACUGGAAGGUGAUGUUAACUCAUGCCUUUGUUAUGACAGAGCUGCCUGAAGACCUGGGUCAAUAAAUGAUUCAUUUUGAACCAUUCAGUGUAAAUAAACAUUGCAACAGUCCUCAGUUUUGGCAUGGAAAACUUGAGUGGAGGUACAGUAACAAAGCUUACUGUAAAAACACACAACCAUUGAAAGAUGGCUAUUUACACAAAGGAUAAAGGAUAUUUACACAAUAAAUGAAGUUUUUUCUACCCUCAGAGUGUUUUCUUGGUUACAAAAAGUGUGAAAGGUUGCCUUUUGGAGAAAGCCUGUGAACAGCAUCCAUUCAGGCCAUGAAUUUUGGUUCAGGGACUGUAAACUGAAUUUUUAACCCUCUGGAGCCAGUUGUAUCCCUUAAAAGAAUGCCUAAGGAUCUAGGUCUACAUCUAAUGCAAACUACACUAACUCUGUUAAUUUCAGGUGAAAUGCAGUGAUAUACACAAAUGAUUAUGUAAAGCUGCUUUACCAUUACACAAACCAUGCUCAUGGUAAACACCUGAUGUCUUUUUCUGCAAAGCCAUCAUACAAGAUUCUGGGAGCAAUGAACUCCUGCUUAUAUAACUUAAUUGGUGUUUUCUUUUUUUUUUUUAUAGAAGUAUUUUUUGCCAUGUUAAUUUUUUCCUUUCAGUAUGCUUAUAAUAUAAACAAUAACAUUCCAGGAAGCAAUUGUCUCUCCUUUCAAUUUCUCCUCAAAGAGAGCAAAUUUCUGCUUGCUAAAUCAACCUGGUUUACUAAUUAACAUCUGGAUCUUAUGUGUACGCUAUGCACACACACAAUAAUUCCACAAUUAUAUUAUAUUAGCUAUUUAAGGGCUCAUCUAAUUUUACUCUAUACAUAAUCCUUGAAAAUGAGAUUUGCAUAAAGUAAUUUAAAAUAGACAGGGCAAACUAGAAGUAUAUAAUUAUGUGUCUCUCUGAAAUAAAUACAUUUUCAGUUUUCAAUUUCCAUAACUGAGUUCAUUGGAACAUAAUUUAGACUAUGAAUAUCUGAAUUAAUAACAAAAUGACAGUAUUCUACUGUUCUGUAUGUACUUGCAUGGAAUUUACAGACAGGGUCUCCUUUGUUAUACUUACUGGAUUACCUGUGGGGAGAGUAAACCUUGAUAACAUUGAAAUGAUCUUUCUCCAGGAGCUGCAGGAGAGGAGGAGGGUGAGAAGCACUCUCCAUUGAAGGCGAUUAAACAACUAACUUAAAAGACAUUCUUGUCAAGAUCUCUACCACUUACAAUGUGGGAAACAGGCUCCUUGGUUCUCUAAAUUUGAUGCUUGUAAUAACCUGAAGUCUACAACAUAAAUAUUGUCCAAACAUUGAAAGUGAACCUCUUUUUUGGACUCACCAUUAGUCUGAGAGCAGCAGGAGUUCAGAAUUUAUGACUACAUGCUAAUGAUUCACACAUAGUGAGCAGGAACAUGGAACUUAACAAUAUCAUAAUGAAACUGCAGUGAACUUCUGGAUAUGAAUGUGACCUACCUGUGGUUCAUUCUUCAUUCCUCUGAAGGGUUUUGUUAGCCCCAAGGAACAGAAAGGUGCAUCUCUUGGAGCCAAGAAAAGGGAGCAGUCCUUGCAUGUUGUCCCUGAUGUUGAGAGAAGGAUAUUUCUUGCACCUGGCAGCAACUAAACGCUCUGACCUGGAGAUCACGAGGAUGCAGCAUGUCACCAAUCUGAAGAGCUGAGCAGCAGUCUUUACACUUGAAAAUCAUAUUAUUGAACUCACAUUCUGUCAAAAGGGUUUACAAGAGGUGUGUUCUAUAUUUUGCUCAUACUGCUGGUGAUGCUGAGUUCAUGAAAUACACAGAAAGUUCAAGGUGCUCUUGCAGAAAUCAACAUGCUGCAGGGAACAAUGAAACUGAAAAACUCCUCUUUAUCCCCUCUUCCAGGCUUAGAACCAACUUCUAUACUAAAAAAGAAGAAAUGUGCAGUUCUCUUUGCUCAUACAAAUUUUGAUCAUAUCUGUGCACACAAGAAGACUUGGAAAAUAUUCCAAACUUUUAACUCUUAAUUUCCUGAAAUCUGUAUUUGCAGAAAAACAAACAAACAAACAAACAAACCAUUUUUUAAGGCUAUGGACCCAUAUUUCUCCAGAAAUUCUUUAUAUUUAAAAUUUACCAGUGGCUUUAUGUAGUAUUCUUUUUACAUGUUUCUAUUCCUUCAGCUUUCCUACUCAUCUGUCAGAAACAAUUAAAUCACCGGAUUUUUCAUUGUUUGAAAUAACUGGUUGCAUUACCAUCUGGAAACAAUACAUUUUAAGUGCGUAAUCACGGGUGUUUGAAAUCCCAGGAACCCAACUUUAUAUGCACAGGACUAGGAGGCAGCAUGCUCAAAAAUGUAUUGUCAGCUGCGUGAUGUACAGCUAGGAGGAAAGGAAGAAUGAUUCCCAGCCUCUUCUCUACUGUCUUCUCUCCGCAGGCCUCGGAGAGCUAAGGUCAGGUUUGCCUGCAGAGCAAAUGAGAACAUUUUAGAUUGCUCUUAUUUGUGUCGAGUUUUAAUGAUUGCAGCGGGCCAAGGGACACCAGCUGAGCUGUGGCCUGUCAACUCCUCAUCCUUCUUAGAGUUCAAUUCCAGUAUGAGGCUGGACAAUCAACUUUGUGAUCGUUUCCAGGAAGCGUAAAGAAACGAAGCACAUUACCUGGUAGGACUGCUGAGGAUAGCCGUUCACUGCAUAUAAGCUCACAGUGGAAAAUGCUUUGAGACUCUGAAACAGAAGCUGAAUUUCUACAAAAUCACAACUCAAAGAUAUAACAGUCAACUGGUCCUUAUUUAUACACAAGGGGAGAGGGAAAAUUCACAGCCUUAGGCGCUUCUCAAGAUAGCAGCUGUCUCCAUGCCAUCUAACUGCCAAAGCUUUUCACCUGACUGAUCUGAUAGCACGGUGGACUGCUGUUCAAACUAAUAACCAACUCUUUGAGAACCCUCUCCUAGCAGGCAGCGUGCUGUGUUUGUGGUCUCUGUAGGAGACUGUAGUCAGGUAAGAAGCAUGGGAAGAAAAGAACCCCAGGAAGUGGAUUGGAUACUCUACAAAGUGGUUGAUGGCAAAAUUUUAAAAAGAAAAAAGAAAAAAAGGGGUUGUUCAUUCUGCAAACCAGACGUCUGCAGCCACAGUGGACCGAGCCCUCAGCUGGAUGUGCAGCCUGACCUGACCGUACAGCCAGUCCCCCAUUUAAGAAGUAUCAGGAAGAGAAAGUUGUCAUUUGUUGUGUGCAUUACAGUUGUGUGUUACAAAGCUCCCAGGCAGUUUCAACACACGGUGUGCUAGGUAGUGACCAUACAUAUAUCUAAAAACACUUUUUGCCUCAAACUUUUUUUCUGUCUUACAAGCAUGCUAAAAUACUGAUAAAUAUCAGCACCCUUAGCAAGCUUACCUCUUAAAGGGUUGCACUUUUCUGGAGGUAUCAUAGAAGAAAAGACUCUUAGGGUGGAUCUAAUUGAGAAUAACAAAAUGGCCUAAUGGGUUUUAGCCAGAGAAGGUUUCUGCCACUUCUUCACACAGACAAGAAGCAGUGAAUAAAGGAGGAAAAAGGUAUUUUGUCAAUUGGUAACCACUGAAACUCCACAUGCACAAAUGUCCCUGCGUGGCCAGAAUAUACAUUUCAGAGAUUCCAAAUCCUCUUUUUCUGUGUUUGGAGCUUUGCAAACCCCAUUUAAGCUUUUGGAGUCCCUCUCCUAUGUGGUUGAGAGUUGACAUACUAGCCUUUCUACUCCUAGAUAUGAAAAGGAAUAAAUCAGACCUUCAUAGGUGCAUCCUACUAUCAGAUUUUUUAACAGAUUCAGUACUAAUUGGCUGACGAGAAAAGCUCAAACCUCUGACCUGCAUACCAGUAAAUACCUGCUUGAUUAAAAGUGCUUUUCCAUAAUCAACAAGUUAAAAUCCACAUGACCAAGUUUACAUCUGUGAAAUUUAUUUCUCCAUUGCCAAAUCAGUGUGUUUCAGGACAAUAAGUCAUGUCUCUUCUGUGCAUUUUUUGUAAUGCAGAUAUCAUUUUUAUUUGAAUGACAGUAUGAAAUGCACUUGCAAAAAUCAAUACAUCAAAUUUCCUAAAACCCACAAGUGGAAUAGCACUUCGCACAGGUAACCCCCCCACACCUAAGUUCUGCACUACCAGCAGCCAUGUACAGACGUGUAAAACUUGACAGAGGGAGGACAGCUUACUGAAGAAUAGCAUAAGUGACAAGAAGACCUUGACAUAGCUAAUGGAAAGGCACUAAAAUAUAGCAUCAAAAAAAAGACAAUGUAGUUCAAACCAUCUUACAAUAAGAAAUUCCUGUUCCAACUGAAAAGAGCACAGCACAGUCCCAAGCAUCUCAUGGAAGGACUAACUGGUUGUAUGCUCCUGUGCAUUGAGGAGGAGCAUUUCCAACUCCUCAAGACUCAGCAUGUUGUGUCGUAUGAAAACUGGUGCCCUGCACUGCACAAAGCCUAGUGAAAAUGCUGCUAAAAGUUGUAUACAAUUCCAGAUGUUUUAAAACAUUUUUAAAUAUAUGUCGUACAUUUUCUUAAAUAAAGAAACUUCAAAGAAAAUGAGGCGUUUCUGAUGUAGGAGAGAUGGUCAAACUGAAUGAAUGUGUUUCCUUUCCUCUUUUGAAUAAAAUAAAUGGCAUUUAUUGGCUUGUGAUAUACUGACUGAGACACACACAGGAAAGAAUGUGAUUAAAUAGCUUUUCAUUUGGUGCAUUGUUUGUGUAUUCAGCCCUGAUGAUAAUGUUCCC